rnacentral:rRNA from 1 species
GUCUACGGCCAUGCCACCCUGAACAAGCCGGAUCCCGUCUGAUCUCGGAAGCUAAGCAGGGUGGGGCCUGGUUAGUACUCAGGUGGGAGACCACCUAGGAAGACCAGGUGCUAUGGGCA